rnacentral:rRNA from 1 species
GAUGAACGCUGGCGGCGUGCCUAAUACAUGCCAGUCGAGCGAACAGAUCAGGAUUUUGCUCCAUUCACGUUAGCGACGGACGGGUGAGUAACACGUGGGUAACCUACCUAUAAGACUGAAAUAACUCCGGCAAACCGUGACUAAGGCCGGGUAACAUUUAGAACCGCAUGGUUGUAAAGUGUAUGAUGGUUUUGCUGUCACUUAUGGCUGGACCCUCGCGGGAUGAGCUAGUGGGUAAGGUAACGGCUUCCGGAGGCAACGAUACGUAGCCGACCUGGAAGGGUGAUCGCCCACAGUGGAACUGAGACACGGUCCAGACUCCUACGGGAGGCAGAGGCAGCGACUCUUCGGCGAUGGGCGAAAGCCUGACGGAGCGGCGCCGGGUGAGUGCUGAAGCGCCUCGGAUCGUAAAACUCUGUUAUUAGUGAAGAACAAAUGUGCAAGUAACUGAGCACGUCUUGACGGUACCUAGAUAGAAAGCCCCGGCUAACUACGUG